GCAGUCGUACGCGAACGUUUCCUUCGGGAGACAAGUAAAGUGGCGCACGGGUGAGUAACGCGUGGAUAAUCUGCCUUCGGGUCUGGGACAACUCCGGGAAACUGGAGCUAAUACCGGAUGAGACCACAGAGCCCCCGGGCUCGGCGGUCAAAGAUGGCCUCUUCUUGAAAGCCAUUGCCCGUUGAUGAGUCCGCGUCCCAUUAGCUAGUUGGUGAGGUAACGGCUCACCAAGGCUCCGAUGGGUAGCUGGUCUGAGAGGAUGAUCAGCCACACUGGAACUGAGACACGGUCCAGACUCCUACGGGAGGCAGCAGUCGGGAAUCUUGGGCAAUGGGCGCAAGCCUGACCCAGCAACUCCGCGUGAGGGAUGAAGGCCCUCGGGUCGUAAACCUCUGUCGGGAGGGAAGAACGGGCUGUAGUCGAAUAGGCUGCGGUCUUGACGGUACCUCCAAAGGAAGCGCCGGCUAACUCCGUGCCAGCAGCCGCGGUAAUACGGAGGGCGCGAGCGUUGUUCGGAAUCAUUGGGCGUAAAGCGGGUGUAGGC
rnacentral:rRNA from 1 species